CUUUAUAUUAUUUUACUCCAAUUACAUCUCUCGAAAGAGACUAUAUUACUGAGUGAAACUUUUUGCAAAGCCAUUUCACAUAAACAUUUUCUUUUAAUAGUCAUUUCAAUUACCGGGGAAUAAAGCAAUGGAAUGUUUUCCAGUCAGAAGGUGGUUAUCCUCAAUGACUGAUGUAGCAGCACUAUCCACCGAUACAAAGACAAGAGCUCUAGAGGCAGUUAUGGAAUCAAAUGCAUGUACCCAGU